rnacentral:rRNA from 1 species
UGAGGAAUAUUGGUCAAUGGGCGAGAGCCUGAACCAGCCAAGGAGCGUGCAGGAUGACGGCCCUAUGGGUUGUAAACUGCUUUUAUAUGGGAAUAAAGUGAGGGACGUGUCCCUUAUUGCAUGUACCAUACGAAUAAGGACCGGCUAAUUCCGUGCCAGCAGCCGCGGUAAUACGGAAGGUCCAGGCGUUAUCCGGAUUUAUUGGGUUUAAAGGGAGCGUAGGCUGUUUGUUAAGCGUGUUGUGAAAUGUAGGAGCUCAACUUUUAGAUUGCAGCGCGAACUGGCAGACUUGAGUGCGCACAACGUAGGCGGAAUUCAUGGUGUAGCGGUGAAAUGCUUAGAUAUCAUGACGAACUCCGAUUGCGAAGGCAGCUUACGGGAGCGCAACUGACGCUAAAGCUCGAAGGUGCGGGUAUCGAACAGG